rnacentral:rRNA from 1 species
UACGUAGGGUGCAAGCGUUAAUCGGAAUUACUGGGCGUAAAGCGUGCGCAGGCGGUUAUGCAAGACAGAUGUGAAAUCCCCGGGCUCAACCUGGGAACUGCAUUUGUGACUGCAUGGCUAGAGUGCGGCAGAGGGGGAUGGAAUUCCGCGUGUAGCAGUGAAAUGCGUAGAUAAGCGGAGGAACACCGAUGGCGAAGGCAAUCCCCUGGGCCUGCACUGACGCUCAUGCACGAAAGCGUGGGGAGCAAACAGG